ACGAACGCUGGCGGCGUGCUUAACACAUGCAAGUCGAACGGUGAAGCGCUUGCCUUUUUGGUGGGUGUGGGUGAGUGGCGAACGGGUGAGUAACACGUGAGUAACCUGCCCUCUUCUUCUGGAUAACCUCAUGAAAGUGGGGCUAAUACGGGGUAUUCCGGGUCUGUCGCAUGGCGGGUUUGGGAAAGAUUGCGCCUUUGGGUGUUUUCGGUGGGGGAUGGGCUCGCGGCCUAUCAGCUUGUUGGUGGGGUGAUGGCCUACCACGGCGGUGACGGGUAGCCGGCCUGAGAGGGUGGACGGCCACACUGGGACUGAGACACGGCCCAGACUCCUGCGGGAGGCAGCAGUGGGGAAUAUUGCACAAUGGGCGCAAGCCUGAUGCAGCGACGCCGCGUGAGGGAUGAGGCCUUCGGGUUGUGAACCUCUUUCGCCAGUGAAGCAGGCCUGCUCCUGUGUGGGUGGGUUGACGGUAGCUGGAUAAGAAGCGCCGGCUAACUACGUG
rnacentral:rRNA from 1 species